CCUAUCCCUCUCUCACUCUCUCAACCGAGCUGCUCUCUCUCAAAAAAAGCCCUAAAAGCCCUAAAUCUCCCGCGGCUCCGUGCGACUUCCCCUCAAAAAAACCCUCCUUGCCGCUCCGCGCGACGACCCCUCGCCCUCAAAAAAAGCUUCUCCUGGUGCUCCGCGCGACCCCCCCGCCGCCCUGGUGCUCGCAAACCAGCCCUCCCCCGUGCGACCCCGGCGGCCCCUGCACCCUCGUCCGACACGAAAUUGCAUCUUUUCUUCCGGCGGCUCUGGAGGUGACGAAGGGGAAACCCCUGACACGACCUGGCCGACCGCGGUGGAGCUAGCGAGCGAGAGGGCGUCGAUUGUCGGCUUUGAUACCCUCGGACGCCUCUUCGGGACAUCACUGUCAUCGUCAACGUGUUAUCAUACCUCAAUGUAGAUCAUUUGAUGAUAUUGAGUUGCAGACUUUUCAAGAUAGAUCAUAUUCUGAUCAACCUCAACAAUCGAGGUAGCCAUAAUAGUCCGAAGUUGGUCCAUCAUCCGUGUAACAGCACGAGGCCGAUCCUUCUUUAUCCACGCAGCAAUCUGAGCCACAGCACCAUCCUCCUACUAAUGAGGAUGUUAUUAUGGAUGAGAUACACAUCCAAGAUAAUUUAAUAAAAAUAUUAUAUAUUCAUGACUAUUAAUGUAUAAGAAUUAAUUUUUAUUGUUGGAUUUGUAAUAUAUUUUUUCAUUUGAUAUGUUUGUUGUAGAUGCAUUUGGAAGAGCAUGGAUUAGAUAUGGAUUCAUACGGGCUCGAGAUAUCUAGUGUUUAACUGAGGAGCAUGUCAAUGAAUUCUCGGUAUCUAUGAAGGCCAGUCGUGUUGAGGCCCAGGUGAUGACAGGGCUAUUGGGACCCGACCUUUAUGGUCGAGUGGGAGGUUAUUGAGUUGGAGUCAAUCCCACUCAAUUAUCUGAUGUGUGCCGAUACACUUAGGAUGCUAGAGAGAGUUCUAGUAAUGUAGAUAUUCGUAUGCUCGAGAUUCAGAUGGAGGUGCGGAUGGAGGCAUGGAUUGAGAAGCAGUUAGAGGUGCAGAUGGAGACACAGAUUGAGGAGCAUUUGGAGGUGCAGGUGGAGGUACAGAUGGAGGCACGGAUGGAGAUAAUGAUGAGAUAGAGCUAUGACACAAUGAUAUCCUCUAUAAGAACUCAGAUUGAUCAGUUGACAUCCGCAUUAUAAAUGUUUGUGAACUCUUUUAUGAUACAUAUAUUAUUAUA